rnacentral:rRNA from 1 species
UACGGGGGGGGGCAAGCGUUUGUUCGGAAUUACUGGGCGUAAAGGGCUCGUAGGUGGCCAACUAAGUCAGACGUGAAAUCCCUCAGCUUAACUGGGGAACUGCGUCUGAUACUGGAUGGCUUGAGAUUGGGAGAGGGAUGCGGAAUUCCAGGUGUAGCGGUGAAAUGCGUAGAUAUCUGGAGGAACACCGGUGGCGAAGGCGGCAUCCUGGACCAACACUGACACUGAGGAGCGAAAGCCAGGGGAGCAAACGGG